GUUUGCGCGUUCCUUAGAAUGCAGUCGACGGUAAAUACCUUCGGGUAUGAGAGUGGCGAACGGUCGCGUAACACGUAAGCAACCUGCCUUCAAGUGGGGGACAACAGGCCGAAAGGCCUGCUAAUACCGCAUGUGGCCAGAUUCUCGCAUGGGAAUUUGUCUAAAGGGAUUUAUUUCGCUUGAAGAUGGGCUUGCGGCCUAUCAGGUAGUUGGUGGGGUAACGGCCUACCAAGCCGACGACGGGUAGCUGGUCUGAGAGGACGAUCAGCCGGAUUGGGACUGAGAUACGGCCCAGACUCCUACGGGGGGCAGCAAUUAGGAAUCUUGCGCAAUGGGGGCAACCCUGACGCAGCGACGCCGCGUGGAGGAUGAAGGCCUUCGGGUCGUAAACUUCUUUUAAGUGGGAAGAAAUUUGACGGUACCACUUGAAUAAGCCCCGGCUAACUACGUGCCAGCAGCCGCGGUAAUACGUAGGGGGCGAGCGUUGUCCGAAGUUACUGGGCGUAAAGCGCGCGUAGGCGGUUUCUUAAGUCUGGGGUGAAAGGUUCAGCGCUCAACGUGAACAGUGCCUUGGAUACUGGGGAACUUGAGUUAGGGAGAGGGAAGUGGAAUUCCUGGUGUAGCGGUGAAAUGCGUAGAUAUCAGGAGGAACACCAGUGGCGAAGGCGGCUUCCUGGCCUAUAACUGACGCUGAGGUGCGAAAGCGUGGGGAGCGAACGGGAUUAGAUACCCCGGUAGUCCACGCCGUAAACGAUGAGUGCUAGGUGUUUCGAGGUAUCGACCCCUCGGGUGCCGUCGCAACGCAUUAAGCACUCCGCCUGGGGAGUACGGCCGCAAGGUUGAAACUCAAAGGAAUUGACGG
rnacentral:rRNA from 1 species